rnacentral:lncRNA from 13 species
GAGGCUGAGGACGAAUGUUUGACGAGGAGCAUCAGUCUGGGGUACUUGCAGCAGCUACAACAACGAAGCAACCCGCCUUCACCAAUUCCGUCGAAUUCAAGAGGACACAGGCAACCUAUGAGAGAGAAGCAGAGGCACCGCUGUUCUGGAGGCUGCAGCUCUUGAAGGGCACCUUUGAAGCGGUUUGGCCAGGAGAGAGGCAGCGGAGAGUGGGGGUUGUAGUUGCUGGAUCCCUUUCCCCUGCUCUCAGUAUUGACUCUGAUUAUGCCCUGCCUGCUCCUGGAUAAUUCACUCUCCAGCAGUGCAGAUAUAUAUGUCCCCCUCUCUACAACAGCUCUAUUUCAGCGUUGGCCUGCAAAUAAACUGUAAACGUAGGACGCUAUCCUGAUAAUGCAGUGUACAGUAAUUACAUGUCAACUUUACCUCUCCCCUAUUAAGAUUUUUUUGUGUGUGUUGUCAUUGCAGUCACAUACAGUAAAAAAAAACAAAAAAACAAUCAGAACAGAGAAGCACUUAAUGUCUGUCAAUCAAACAUUCAAACUAUGUCUUCAUAUUCAAUGUAAUGCACACUAUAUAAGCUCAAAAUAGCAGGUGACUCAGUAUUGGACAAUUAUUCAACACAUUUUAGAGACCUGUAAACAUUUGGUGAAUGUACUCAAAGUGACCACCAGGUUUGUUUAGCUUAUCAUUAACUUAUCAUUAGUUCCCCUGACCUUGGCUUCAAGAUGGGGAGAGUUAAGAGGGUGGCAGAGGUGAGGUGCUUGGUUCAGCCCAGCACUGAUGAUAUGUCUUUAUCCUUUGCUGUUUGUCCUUGGUCUGACAGCAGAGUAGGCCUAGUGCAUGAAUUCACCUCACGGUCAGGCAGAUUUCAUUAUCGUCUCCGUUGUUUAAUGUUCUCCGGCUGAUUACCCUGAUUACCCACAUUUUGCCUUUCUAAAGCACUGAGCUAAAAUGCUGGUCAUGUUUUGGUGAUAUUCAUUGUGUAGUCAUCAAGGAUAAGUGCUGAGAGGAAACAACACAGUGUUGUAUUUUUAUUAAGACUUAUGAACCCUGUUAUUCCCUUAAACUAAAGGAAUAGUUCAGCGGUUUUACAUAUUUAGAUAUUUGUUUCCUUACCUUGAAAGCAGUGGCUUGCUGUCUCCUUGUCCAGACUGCCUUCAAGGUAAGUAAAUCGGGUUGGGCGGUAUCCAUGGCUGAUAGCCACUUUACCUCUGGGGAAUCUGUCGAAAUCGGAUGCAGUUUGAUCGGCAUCUUAAUUGGUGGUCCAAUUCACAAAUGUUGACCCAUCGGCCUGAAAUUUUGUUUGAGGAAGUGAGUGAAGAACUUUGAUCACUUGUGGGGUUGAUAUGGCCCACAUUCAAUGCAAGCUGUAGUCCCGUGUCAAACUCCGGUAGCCACAAAGUGUAAAAUUGAAUCAGCACGGCUGCAUUUUCGGCAUGUGAGACAAGAUUAUGACGCAAGCUUGCUAAAAAAAAAAUAUAUAGAUUACAUUUAUUUUAGUGUUGGCAAAUGGGAAUGAUGCUCAAAUUGUCUUGGUCUCGUAGUGAGGAGCCUAUAAAAUGUAACUAGCUCCAUAAAUAGGUUUUCGGGAAUUCUACAAUUUAUUGGAAUAAAUCACCAAACUAUAAACUAGCUAGCCAACUAUGGGUAACUGUAGCAUAUCAAAAUAUGAUAGCCAUGUAUAAUUUUUGCAAAGAAGAUUGUGCUUUUUCAUUGUAAGCUCAUUUACUUGUGUGGCUGCCAGCCAAAUAGUGUCGCACUUCUUUUGUCAUCUGAUGAAAAUGAAGCUAUUUUCAGCCGAAUGUGUUGCACUAAUGUAUUUUCUGUGAAGGAAAACUAUAGUGGCACGUCCCAGAUCACUCUAUUGAAGCAAAGAAACACGACUUUCAAUAUAAAACGCGAGCCGUCAAUACACAGCUGGACUCAACGGCUCCCCUUUCUCCCGUUGUGCUAUUUACAAACAAACACUUGACUGGCUCAACUGUUCUGGGGAACUAUGGUAAGCUUCAUUAUAUGAAAUAAUGUGACAGGUGAAAUGAAGAACGCGAUCUGCUUCAUCUCCUAACGUAUUGCACAAGUUGACGGCAGGUAUUUACUUAAGUAGCUACAACUAUAAAUAUUUAUAUCAAAACUUCCAAGAAAUAGUUUUGACUGUAUUGAAAAACCAUCCCGGGUGGCUAUUUCAAAAUACCCUGAUGUAAGAUAUAUAUGGUUUACCGCCCAAGCCUAUAAGGAAACAUGCCUAAUUAUGUCAAAUCUCUGAACUAUCACUUUAAAGUAUUUACCUUUUUUAUUGAGCUGCGCAAGAGUGAGUUGAUGCCUUUAAUAAGAGGUAAUCAGUUGCGGUGGAUGUUGGCUCAAUCAAGUCAUUAAAACACUAAUACAGCUGCCACAUCUGUAUCAAAGUCAAAUCACUGCCAUUUUGUCCUCAUGUCAAUUCAAGGCCUCCUGCCAAUCAAAAGCAUCCUACAUGUUUCAGAUCCACCAACAUGUCAUGGGAUGUCAAUGGGGCUUGGGAAAGCAGGAAAUUACUGAUUGUAACUGUACCGAGUGGGAAUGGUAGAUAGUGGCAGACCCCCCACCCCCCUUUGGUUGGAAAGGGUUUAGUUAAAG